AGGUCUCCGUAGGUGACCUGCGGAGGGAUCAUUACAAGUGACCCCGGUCUAACCACCGGGAUGUUCAUAACCCUUUGUUGUCCGACUCUGUUGCCUCCGGGGCGACCCUGCCUUCGGGCGGGGGCUCCGGGUGGACACUUCAAACUCUUGCGUAACUUUGCAGUCUGAGUAAACUUAAUUAAUAAAUUAAAACUUUUAACAACGGAUCUCUUGGUUCUGGCAUCGAUGAAGAACGCAGCGAAAUGCGAUAAGUAAUGUGAAUUGCAGAAUUCAGUGAAUCAUCGAAUCUUUGAACGCACAUUGCGCCCCCUGGUAUUCCGGGGGGCAUGCCUGUUCGAGCGUCAUUUCACCACUCAAGCCUCGCUUGGUAUUGGGCAACGCGGUCCGCCGCGUGCCUCAAAUCGACCGGCUGGGUCUUCUGUCCCCUAAGCGUUGUGGAAACUAUUCGCUAAAGGGUGUUCGGGAGGCUACGCCGUAAAACAACCCCAUUUCUAAGGUUGACCUCGGAUCAGGUAGGGAUACCCGCUGAACUUAAGCAUAUCAA
rnacentral:misc_RNA from 1 species